AAAAUGUUUAUUUAUUGAAAAAUAUUUGAAGGUUUUUAUCAACGACAUACAAAAUUGUUUUUCAUUGUUUGAGUACAAAUAUUUGUUAAUAUGAAUAGAAUUUUCGCAUUUCUUCUUUGUUUUACUGGAAUUUGCAUUCUUAACUAUGUUGUGUCCAGUGAGGUAGAAUUUUCAGAAUGUGUAGACUAUAUAUUUAGUAGUUCGUGCCAAGAACUAGAUGAUGCUUCACGUGAAAUGUAUGGACAAUCUAUAUGUGACAAUGACCAGCUACCUCAUACGUGUUGCUUAUGUUUGACCAAUGGAAGAAAGUAAAAGAAGAUUGCCUUUCUUUCUAAUAUUAAGAUUUGACAGACGCAGUAUGCUAUGACUAUGUUUUGAAUACACCCUGUACAGAAUACGAUCAGUAUUUCAAGAGCUUGGAUGCCAAAAGCUCCGUCUGUGACAAUUCUGAUCUGGCUGCUAUUUGUUGCAUGUGCCAAUAGAAUUUGGGCAUGAAUUAUUCUUUUUAAUUUUUAUGUGAAUAACGAUAAUUUGUAUUCAUAUUUAUUUUACAAUUUUAUUGAAUUUACUAUGUUGUCUAAUUUUUGUGUUAAUAUGUCUGUUUAUCUGCAAUUAAACUGGCUUCUAGAUUGAUCAUUGUCCUUAUAGCUUUUGAAAGAGUAGACAUUCCGUGUUUGAUUAAAUCUUUUUUAAUAUACAAUAAAUCAUACUUGAAUCU